UAUGCCCCUCGGGCAUUGCGCUUCAAGCUUCGAGCCCCUACCAAAUAACGACGUUCAUGAAUUUAAUUUGGUAUGGGAUACUAUAUCAUCUAUUGUCUUACAUCUAUUGUUAGAGUGAAUUCUGAGAAUGGAGCUAGAAGAUAAAAGAUAUUUGUUGAAUUCGAUCUACUUCUAAUCUAAAUUACCAUAAACUUUUAGCAUCAGUGAUUUCAUUCGGAAUGGUAAAUAUUAAAACAUGAAUUUCGUACGUAAAUCUGAAUAUUAUAUAGUGUUAUUUCAUUGUUAUUUAACAGAGUGGUAAUUAAAGCUAGGCAUCUCGAGUGUACCGAAGAAAUGAAAAGAUAAAAAAGAAUACUAAACGUGAGUAACUACAAAAUUAUUGAUUAUAUACAAAACUAACUAAAACAUGCAAAUAUACAGGAAUUUGAAAUUCUCCUCUGAAACGCAGGACAGGAGUAUUUUGUAAAUUCGGAAAGAAUCUCUUCGAGGCAAAUGCAACAUCUUUAAAAUUCGUUUACCAGAGAUGUCUAAUCGCAGCAAAUCCAGCAUUCAAACGAAUGGGAGUGUUCGUAGCCAGAAUUCGUCCCGCAACAAAAGGAGCCAUGAGAAAGCACCUCCAGGUAGUAAACAUGCGAUUGCUGGGAAUAGCUGCCGUACUUGCAAAUCGUUCGAUACCAGCCCUAUGGUUCACUGCGUCCAUUGUGAUGACUGGCAUCACUUUGCGUGUGUUGGUGUAACCCAAGACAUCGAGCAAAAUAGCUGGUGCUGCCCAUCGUGCGAAAAAGCAACACAGCAGAGUUCGAAGCCUGAUGGGGAAUCAAAACAAACUGCAAAAACCAAAACAACGGGUUCAUCGGCAUCGAAGAAAGACAGUAAGAAGGCAGCUGAAUCGAUCGGCGAUAAUAAAAAAAAGGCGACUGGAGCGAUAAAAAAGGUUCCGAUCGUAUCCAGCAAGGGAGCUUCAACGAAAACUUCCGGAAUGCAGACAAGGAAAGCCAAAAAACAGUUAGCUGAAAAACAGGAGAGGUCCAAGGCUGCAUCGUUCGUAUCAGCAUCUUCGAAAAUGUCAACAAGAGGGCAACUGGAAGCAGAAAUCAAAAAAGUGGAAGCGGAACAAACACUCCUUGAGCAGGAAACUCAGCGCAAACGAGAGCUUCUCACCAAGAAGCUCAGUCUGCUGGAAGAGCUAGCUGAAACCAUGGGCGAGCUGGAAAUCGUAGUGGAACAAGACGCGGACGAGAAGGUCAAUUCUUGGCUGGGCAGUAACAAUCUACAACAGGCGGUCGACGAUGGCGAUGAUGAGUCCAGCGACGACGAUUCCGACGAGAAAACUGCCGACAGCACCGAAGACCGCAGUAGCGAGGCGUCAGAAGAAGAAAACGGCGAUGAUGAUGGUAGUAAAUUGUUUGUUCCCCUGCGAAAAUCGACACCGACCAAGCAACUGUCGCAGAGAUUUCCAAACGCUGAUCGCAUGUGUUUAAACCGUUCCCAAACAGCUCUCACGCAGGAUCAAAUAGCGGCUCGUCAGGUAGUCUCUCGUGACUUGCCGAAGUUCGGUGGCAACCCCGAAGAGUGGCCAAUGUUUAUAUCCACUUUUGAAAGUACCACAGAAAUGUGCGGCUAUCGUGACGAUGAAAACAUGAUUCGUCUGCGCCACUGUCUACGUGACGAUGCUCUUGUCGCUGUGAGAAGCUUCCUAAUGCAUCCCUCUACAGUGAUGAAGGCCAUCAGCGUGCUUAAAUUACGGUUUGGUCAACCCCAAAUCAUUAUAAACACAUUGCGAGAGAAAGUGCUCACGAUGCCACCAGUCAGGCCAGAUUCUAUGGACCGGUUGAUUGACUUUGCUCUUGCCGUACAAAAUUUAUGUGCUACAAUUGAUGCGUGUGGACGGAAGGAAUACAAGCGCGACGUGACGUUACUGCAGGAACUCGUCGGAAAGCUACCCCCUUCCAUAAAGCUAGACUGGGCUAGAUUCCAGAGGACCCAAUCCAAAGUGAACCUGUUUACCUUCAAUGAUUGGGUGUACUCGGUGGCUGAAGACGCGUGUCUAGUAUCGGGAGCACCAGUCUACAACAGCAAAGUGGUCGAACCUCGUGGGAAGAAGAGUAAUAAGGUCUAUGUGAAUUCCCAUACCGAAUAUCGCCCGGAUAAGCAGAUUCGAUCAGAUUCGAAACUUUCGAGUACCAGGCAAUGUGGACGCGGGCAAAUCGGAGAAGGGGCACAGGUUACCGCGAACAAGAGCUGUCCAAUUUGCAAAGGAUCGUGUAAGAAUCUAGUGAAGUGUGAACGAUUCGUAGAAUUGUCCUAUGAGGCAAGAUGGGCAGCGGUCCGUGAGCUGAAGAUCUGUCGUAGAUGCCUCCGGCAGCACGGGGGAACAUGUGAUCGGAAACCGUGUGGUACACAGGGCUGUACAUUCAAGCAUCACCCCAUGCUUCAUAAACAUCUGUCUGCAACAACGAGCGCUUCAACCACCAGAGAACGGGAACCAGCUGCCAUCAAUGAAGAACGUAGCGUUAAUGCUCACCUGUCAGUGAAGGGAGCUGGAAUGUUUCGUUAUUUACCCGUUACUUUAUAUGGAGAAACCGGUCAAGUUCAGUGCUACGCCUUUCUUGACGACGGAUCGGAGCUGACAUUAAUCGAUCGGGAAGUGGCAGAUUCUUUGGGUGCAUCGGGCUCUACGAUACCACUUUGCUUGAAGUGGACUGGAGGAACCCACCGUGUGGAAGCAUCGUCCCGUAGCAUCGACAUUAAAAUCAGCGGCAGUUCCGGUAAUAUAUUCCACCUUGCAGACGUACGAACAGUUGAAGAGCUACGGCUACCCCAACAAACAAUGGAUGUGGACCAGCUAAGGGCAUCGUUCCCUUACCUUAAGGAUGUGCCAGUGAGUUCAUAUACGAUGGUGCGCCCGCGUAUCUUGAUCGGUCUCAAGCACGCCAAUUUGUCGUUGGUUCGCAGAACUCGUGAAGGCAGAAUAGGUGAUCCAAUAGCCGCUAAGACCUUGUUAGGGUGGACCAUAUUUGGUGGACGUGCAGAUAAACUGGAUCGACAAGAGCGUCACACUUACCACAUUUGCGAAUGCAACAUCGGGUUCGAUAAAUCUCUAGAGGAAGCAGUCAGACAACACUUCACUCUAGAGAGUCUAGGAAUCUCGCGACCGGAGAACCCGAUCAUAUCAAAAGCAGAGCAAAGGUCUCAGGCACUAUUGCAGUCGCUGACGAGGUUCGUUGGAGAUCGAUAUGAGUCCGGGUUUCUUUGGCGACACGAUAAUGUCCGCUUGCCGGAUAGUAGACCUAUGGCACUGUGGAGGUUCGAAUGCCUGGAAAAAAGGAUGAUGCAAGAUGACAACCUAGCCUGUGCCCUGAAAGCGAAAAUCGAGGAUUACUUUGAAAAGGGAUAUAUUAGAAAGCUGUCAGCUGAAGAGCUUGCUGGUCACUGUGAACGUGUGUGGUAUCUCCCAAUUUUUCCAGUCAGCAAUCCGAACAAACCGAAGAAACUAAGAAUCGUGUGGGACGCUGCUGCUCCCGUGCAUGGAGUCUCCCUUAACUCGGUCCUGCUUACAGGGCCUGAUGAACUGACUUCGUUGCCCGCAGUUCUGCAGAAAUUUCGACAGUUCAAGGUGGCAGUGGUCGGUGAUAUUCGAGACAUGUACCACCAGGUGAGAAUGCGGCUUCCGGAUCAACAUUGUCAAAGGUUUUUCUUUCGCAGCGGUAAAGACGAGGAAUUAAGCGUUUAUGUCAUGCAAGUUCUAACCUUCGGGGCAUGCUGUUCGCCGGCAACCGCACAAUACGUUAAAAAUAGAAACGCGGAAAGGUUCCAAAUCGACCAUCCACAAGCAGCCGACGCCAUAAUUAACAAGCACUAUGUGGACGAUAUGUUGGCGAGCGAGGAGACGGAAGAAGCAGCUAUAGAUUUAGCAACAACUGUUCGUUGGAUACAUGCAGAAGCUGGAUUCGAGAUCCGAAACUGGCUAUCUAAUUCACCCAAGGUAGUGGCAGCCUUAAACGGAGUUUCCGCCCCGGAAAAGGAUUUGAACCUAACAGCUGACGUGGCAACCGAAAAGAUCUUGGGAAUGUGGUGGAACACUGCAACGGAUUGUUUCACAUUCAAGCUCUCCAAGGGACGUUUCGAUGAUUCUUUAAUCGAAGGAAGCCGUAGACCAACCAAACGCGAAGUGCUUCGCGUACUGAUGAGCAUCUACGAUCCUUUGGGGUUGAUCUCACACUACAUGAUGUUUCUCAAAGUCACGCUUCAGGAUGUUUGGAGGACUGGAAUUCCUUGGGACGCACCCAUCGAGGAGAAACAGUUUAAGGAUUGGAACACCUGGGUAAAGUUGUUACCCCAUCUGGAGAAAGUGAGCAUUCCAAGGUGCUAUCGACAGGAAACUUCGGCGAACGAGACAACAAUCGUACAGAUGCAUACGAUGGUGGAUGCCAGCAUCAACGGAAUGGCAGCUGUGGUAUACCUGCGGUUCGAAGAGGACGGCAAAGUGGAGUGUGCGUUGGUCAGUGGUAAAACUCGUGUGGCUCCGCUUAAAUAUUUAUCAAUACCAAGGCUUGAACUUCAAGCCGCCGUCUUAGGUUGCAGGCUAGCCGAAAGUGUUGCCAGCAACCUCUCGAUCAAAAUUUCGAAGCGACUAUUCUGGACCGACAAUCGCGACGUACUUUGCUGGUUGCGAUCCGAGCAUAGGCGCUACAGUCCCUUUGUAGCUGCUCGUGUUGGGGAGAUAUUAGACUCUACUACUAUCGAUAGCUGGAGGUAUGUGCCAUCACGUAAAAACGCAGCUGACGACGGAACAAAAUGGUGUGGACAACCAGAUUUAAGUUCAACUAGUAGGUGGUUUAAAGGACCACACUUCCUCUGGGAAUCAGAAGACAAAUGGCCCAAGAUGCCGUUUAUAAAUUCCGAAACCGACACUGAAUUGCGUUCCAGCCUAAUGAUCCACGUUGAAGUUCCUCGGCCUGUAAUCACGGCUGCGUCAUUCUCGAGCUGGAAAAGAAUGAUCCGGGUGACUUGCUACGUACUACGGUUUGUCUCCAACAUUCGUCUUCGACUUUGUAAAGGAAGCAUACAAAGUGGCUUCUUGACCAGCGAAGAAAAGCAGGCUGCAGAAAGAUAUCACUUUUGUAUAGCUCAAAGAGAGGCGUACUCCGAAGAAAUCACUAUGUUGAAGUCAGGAAAGUCUUCUAAGCAGGUCCCAAAAUCAAGUGCACUAUUCAAGCUGAGUCCUUUCCUGGAUUCCAAUGGAGUUUUGCGGAUGAAAGGGAGAACCGGUGCAUGUCCCUUUGUGAAAGAAAACGCAGUGCACCCCAUUAUUCUACCGGCGAAUCAUGAUGUGACGUCUCUCGUACUCAGUUCGUACCAUCAGAGAUUUCAUCACUGCAAUUAUGAAACCGUAAUUAACGAAGUUAGACAGGUAUUUCGAAUUCCGAAACUACGAAGACUUCUAUCAACUUUACGACGCCAAUGCUCCCGAUGCAAAAUCAGAGACGCACGACCAAAUCCACCCGAAAUGGCAGAUCUCCCUACAGGAAGGCUUGCAGCGUAUACUCGACCAUUCUCACAUGUGGGGGUGGACUUUUUUGGCCCAUAUCAAAUCACCGUUGGACGUCGCACUGAAAAGCGUUGGGGAGUCAUGCUGACUUGCUUGACGACAAGAGCUGUGCAUAUUGAGGUUGCCUAUUCCAUGACUACGAGCUCUUGUGUAAUGGCAUUGCGAAAUUUUAUUGCACGACGAGGAAUACCAUUGGUCUUCUACAGCGAUCGAGGAACAAAUUUUGUUGGUGCACAGAAGGAACUGCAGAAGGCUUCGGAGUUGUUCGACCAAGACAAGAUGGCAUGUGAGUUCACAAGUCCUACAACUUCUUGGUUCUUCAACCCUCCCAGCUCUCCACACAUGGGUGGAAGCUGGGAAAGGUUGAUCCAAUCCGUCAAACGGAACCUAUUGGAGAUUCAAGGCACACGGCGAUUAAGUGAUGAAGAGUUGCGCAAUGCUUUAACUGAAAUUGAGUACACGUUGAAUUGCCGACCUCUUACGCAUGUGCCGAUUGACGAUGAGUCAGAAUCCGCGUUGACUCCAAACCAUUUUCUUUUGGGGUCAUCAGAUGGAAGUAAACCGCUCACCAGAAACGACGACAACGUUGCAGUACUUCGACGUGGGUAUGAAGUAUCACAAAUAAUGGCCGACUAUUUUUGGCGAAGAUGGCUUCGUGAUUACCUUCCCGAUAUCACGCGACGCACCAAAUGGUUCCAGAAGGUUAAACCGAUCGCGGAAGGGGAUAUCGUCAUUAUUGUAGAUCCUGAUCAUCCUAGGAACUGCUGGCCUCUGGGACGUGUUAUUGCAACCGUAAAUCGAGAUGGACAGGUGCGACGAGCAACCGUGCGGACAUCGAAAGGGAUAUAUGAACGACCUGCCGUCAAAUUGGCGGUGCUCGAUCUUGCUAGCGAAUGAUUGUAACCCGACCUAGUGUUGCGGAUUACCGGGGGAACUGUGAUAUGCCCCUCGGGCAUUGCGCUUCAAGCUUCGAGCCCCUACCAAAUAACGACGUUCAUGAAUUUAAUUUGGUAUGGGAUACUAUAUCAUCUAUUGUCUUACAUCUAUUGUUAGAGUGAAUUCUGAGAAUGGAGCUAGAAGAUAAAAGAUAUUUGUUGAAUUCGAUCUACUUCUAAUCUAAAUUACCAUAAACUUUUAGCAUCAGUGAUUUCAUUCGGAAUGAGUGGUAAUUAAAGCUAGGCAUCUCGAGUGUACCGAAGAAAUGAAAAGAUAAAAAAGAAUACUAAACGUGAGUAACUACAAAAUUAUUGAUUAUAUACAAAACUAACUAAAACAUGCAAAUAUACAGGAAUUUGAAAUUCUCCUCUGAAACGCAGGACAGGAGUAUUUUGUAAAUUCGGAAAGAAUCUCUUCGAGGCAAAUG